rfam:Angiostrongylus costaricensis strain Costa Rica genome assembly, scaffold: ACOC_scaffold0001930
GGCGAGAUGGCCAAGCGGUCCAAGGCGCAGGUUUUAGACACCAGUCCUUUCGCGGAAUUGGGUUCGAAUCCCACUCUCGUCA